UACGAACCGUCCAAACGUUACUCGGAAUCACUGGGCUUAAAGGGCGCGUAGGCUGCGCGGAGGGUGGGAUGUGAAAUCCCCCGGCUCAACCGGGGAAUAGCGUCCCAAACCGCCGUGCUCGAGGGAGACAGAGGUGAGCGGAACUGAUGGUGGAGCGGUGAAAUGCGUUGAUAUCAUCAGGAACACCAGUGGCGAAGGCGGCUCACUGGGUCUUUCCUAACGCUGAGGCACGAAAGCUAGGGGAGCAAACGGG
rnacentral:rRNA from 1 species